rnacentral:rRNA from 1 species
GACGAACGCUGGCGGCGUGCUUAACACAUGCAAGUCGAACGGAGUGGCGAACGGGCGAGUAACAAGUGGGUGACCAGCCCUGCACUUCGGGAUAAGAAUGGGAAAAUGGGUUUAAUACCGGAUAGUGUGGGAUGGGCGCGCGGCCUAUCGGAUUGUUGGUGGGGUAAAGGCUCACCUAGGCGACGAUCUCUAGCUGGUCUGGGAGGAUGAUCAGCCACACUGGGCCUGAGGCACGGCGCAGACGCCUACGGGGGGCAGCAGUGGGGAAUAUGGCACAGUGGGCGGAAGCCUGAUGCAGCGACGCCGCGUUGGGGAUGACGGCCUUCGGGUUGUAAACUCCUUUCGCCAUCGACGCGUUAGCUGGAGAAGAAGCCACGGCUAACUACGUGCCAGCAGCCGCGGUAAUAC